CCCCACUCCCUCCCUCCCACACCUCAACCCCUGAGCCCAUACUCUGCACCCAAACUCCCUCCCAGAGCCUGACCCCUCACCCCCUCCCACACCCAAACACCCUCCCAGAGCCUGCACCCCAACCCCUGCCCCAGGCUCAGCCCGGAGCCACCUCCUACACUCUGAACCCCUUCACCCCGCCCCCCAAGCCCACAACCCCUCCCACAUCUCAACCCCUGCCCCAGCCCGGUGAAAGUGACUGAGGGUGGGGAAGAGCGAGCGAGCGAUGGAGGGAGGGAGGGAGGGAGGGAGGGAGGGGGGCUAGAGUGAGCAGGGGGCAGGGCCUCGGGGAAGGGGCAGGGCAAGGGUGUUUGCAUUUGUGCCAUUAGACAGUUGGCAACCCUACUCUGUUGGGCCCGCUGUCAAGUCUGCACAAUGCAGAAAAUCCACAUGCAUUAGGUGCAUUACCCUUGUAAUUGUUCCAAGAGCUAAUUCUUUAAACUCUAGUAAGCUAUCGACUCCCAAAUACCAGGGGGUGAUAUCAGUCCCAGCCUGGGAGGUGACAUUGUGGGUGUGCACAGGUCUUUUGUGCACACCCAGCAGGGCUCAGCCACGAGAGCUCUGAACAGAUCUAAAACCAACCUCAUUUUCUAAUAACGUGUAUUCCUCUCCACCUUCUCCUCCUGCGGGAUCCCAAAACACCAAGGUGCCCUAAAGCUCCUGCAGGCUACUGGGUCAAGCUCAUCAGCCCUAUUACAGAAUAUGAGAAGGCGGCCAGAUACUCAACACUAUUGGGAAGUGUGGGGUAUUUCCCUCAUAUUGGGAAGGAUUAUAGCAUUUGAUUCCACUUGGCUCUGUUCCCUUAGGACACAACCACCUCCCCUUUGCAUAUCUGUGGUCUAAAACAGCCUUCCUAUGUUCCUCUUUACUUCCUCCCUUUUCCAUUUCCUUUCAAAUGGCGAAGUGAACACACAGAUCUACUGAGCUCCACCAAGAUAAAUACGUAACUGGCAGCUGUACCUUUGGAUAGCAGCACUGGGUCUGUUCCGACGAAAGAAUCUGUGACAACAAGCUUUAUCCUGCUUGGAAACUCCUUUGCCCAGCCCAGAUGCUCCCCCAGAGAUAAGCUGAGUAAAACAGAUCAGGCCAGGCAGAUGUUAAGGGGAAAAAACGAAAGCAAGUGCAACACAAACAGAACCCCUCUCUGAACUACAUGCCUGAUCUCCAUUCUACCAUGCCUAGGAGCAUGAUCAGACACCAACUAGCAGAAUGAUCUGAUGAACAAAAGCUUGGGAGUCCCUGAAUUCUGCUAUUAAUUAUAGAGCUCACCCUCCUUGCUUAGGGUCAGAUGGUGAUCUCAACUUCAGGAGUGUAACAACAGGGUUAUUCCAUAGAUUUCACUGGAGUUAUCACUGGCUUUAAACUAGUAUAAACAUAAUCAGAAUCUGUCUCUUGGCAUAUAAUGGAUAAGGCUGGACAUAUUAGGCCAGAUUCCAGGCUGCUUUGUACCACUGCUGCAGCGUGUAGGGACUGCAAAGGGAGUGGUGUGGUCCCCAGAGGCAUUCUUCCAGUGCAGGGAAAGCAUAUCCUGGCAUAUGCAGCCUGAAAGCUGCCUCUCAUGCAGCCCCUGGUGUAGGGAACUGCCAAAGGCAUGAAGAGAAGUGGCCAGAACACUUCAUGCUUGGGAAUUCUUGGCUGCAGGGAAACCCAUUGGCAGCGGCAGUGGGAAAGCUGCUGAGGGUUAUGCGGGGGUGUGACUAUUCCAGGAACAGGUGGGGCCUGUGUGGGCGCGUAGUGCUCUAACUGAACGUACACAGGAGGCUGCACAGGCCCUCAGAGCCUGAGGAGCCCGGAAUCAGAGAGGUAUAAAGGGGGCUAAAAGCCCCGACGUCCUGGUCAGAGCCUUGUGUGACACGCCUCUUGUGAGCAGCUGCACAGUCUUGUUCAUAUCUUUCAGUCACAGCACUUCCUGUCAGUGAAGAUUUGAACUGUUAGUGGUCAUGACAAGGCAUUUCUGUUCCACCUCUGAACACUCACUUUCUACAUUCGUGGCUCUCAACCUUACCAGACUACUGUACCCCUUUCAGGAGUCUGAUUUGGUCUUACAUACACCCAAGUUUCACCUCACUUAACUGCUGGCUUACAAAAUCAGACCUAAAAAUACAAGAGUGUCAUAGCACACUAUUACUGAAAAAUUGCUGACUUCCUCAUUUUUACCUUAUAACUGUAAAAAUCAGUCAAUUAGAAUAUAAAUAUUUUAUUUACAUAUCAGUGUAUAGCAUACAGAGAAAUAUAAACAAUUUACUGUCUGAGAAAUUUUAGUUUGUACCGACUUUGCUAGUGCUUUUUAUGUAGCCUGUUGUAAAAUUAGGCAAAUCUCUAGAUGAGUUGAUGUACCCCCUGGAAGACCUCUGCAUACCCCGAAGGGUACACAUACCCCUGGUUGAGAACCACAGUUCUACAUCAUCCAAGAGAAAACGUACAUUGAGGAGCCAAAGUAGCUUUUAGCUUUCCACAAAGGGGACCAGAAAACGAAACACCGAGGGCCAGCCAUAGGAAUGAACCACUAUUUAAACACUUCUUUCUUGGUUGCGGUGUCACUAGCUGGACAUCUCAACUAAAUCUAGUUGUAAAAUUUGAUGUGAGGUGCUCUAACUAGCACACACAUUAGUAAACGCAGCAAUGCCUGUCUGACGUUGCACUCCAUAUGUUUUUAUGGAAAUAUGAGUGUAAAUAUAAAGUAACUGGAAUAUGCUGUAUGCAAAAGGUCUUUUGUAAGGUAUUAUUACAAAGCUUAUAAUCUACUGAGUGUGUUCAUCCUAGUUGUACCAAGGUAUCAUUCUUGUAUCUGAAGCUAGACAUAUGAAGUAUUAUUCUGAAGUCCUAUUGUAACUAUGGAAAGUGUGGGCCGUUAAUGGUGGCUUGGAAUCUUGAUGGCUCCCAUUAACUGGGACAAUUGGUUGUGAAUAGCUUUGUUUACUCGCAAACUUUCCUGGGUACCUGCAGGCGAGCUCUGAAAGAAUGGAGAAUAAGGUCUUACAGUGACAUGUGAUCAUGUCACCUGGCGCUUUUCCAUUUUGAAGGAGGGGUGGGGGCCCAGAGAGACAAAAGAUUCCCACCUUGUGCCAAAGCUAUGAAAGGGGGUGGAACAGAACCAAGGGGGCUCCCAGUCAUGUGAAAUCCCCUGCUUUUCACCUAAGAUUCCUGCUGGAACGAACAAGGUCUGUACCAGGGGAAAGGAUCAGGCCCAGACUAGGAAGGAGUCUAGUCUGUGAAAGAAGCUUAUUGGAACAUCUCUGAGGGUGAGAUUCACCUGUAUUCAGUUUCUUAAUGGAUUAGGCUUAGACUUGCGUGAUUUGUUUUAUUUUGCUUGGUAGCUUACUUUGUUCUGUGUGUUAUUACUAGAAACAACUUAAAUCCUACUUUUUAUACUAAAUAAAAUAAUUUUCAUUUAUGAAUUAAA